rnacentral:SRP_RNA from 1 species
GCCGGGCGCGGUGGCGCGUGCCUGUAGUCCCAGCUACUCGGGAGGCUGAGGUGGGAGGAUCGCUUGAGCCCAGGAGUUCUGGGCUGCAGUGCGCUAUGCCGAUCGGGUGUCCGCACUAAGUUCGGCAUCAAUAUGGUGACCUCCCGGGAGCGGGGGACCACCAGGUUGCCUAAGGAGGGGUGAACCGGCCCAGGUCGGAAACGGAGCAGGUCAAAACUCCCGUGCUGAUCAGUAGUGGGAUCGCGCCUGUGAAUAGCCACUGCACUCCAGCCUGGGCAACAUAGCGAGACCCCGUCUCUA